rnacentral:rRNA from 1 species
AACGAACGCUGGCGGCAGGCCUAACACAUGCAAGUCGAGCGGGCCCUUCGGGGCCAGCGGCGGACGGGUUAGUAACGCGUGGGAACGUGCCCUCUUCUACGGAAUAGCCCAGGGAAACUUGGAUUAAUGCCGUAUGCGCCCUUCGGGGAAGAUUUAUCGAGGAGGAUCGGCCCGCGUCCGAUUAGGUAGUUGGUGGGUAACGGCCCACCAAGCCGACGAUCGGUAGCUGGUUUGAGAGGAUGAUCAGCAACACUGGGACUGAGACACGGCCCAGACUCCUACGGGAGGCAGCAGUGGGGAAUCUUGGACAAUGGGGGCAACCCUGAUCCAGCCAUGCCGCGUGGACGAUGAA